ACGACCGUCUGCUAGGCGUCGAGCGUCGAGGUCCUCGGCCUACCAAGCCGAGGGUCCCAGGUUCGAGUCCUGGCGGGCGCGCCA
rnacentral:tRNA from 1 species